rnacentral:tRNA from 1 species
GGAGAAGUACCCAAGUUCGGCUGAAGGGGCUCCCCUGCUAAGGGAGUAGACCGGGAAUUACCGGUGCGAGGGUUCAAAUCCCUCCUUCUCCGCCA